GACGUAGGGCGCGAGCGUUGUCCGGAUUUAUUGGGUGUAAAGAGCUCGUAGGCGGCUUGUUACGUCGUUCGUGAAAACUUGGGGCUCAACCCCAAGCUUGCGGUCGAUACGGGCAGGCUAGAGUUCGGUAGGGGAGACUGGAAUUCCUGGUGUAGCGGUGAAAUGCGCAGAUAUCAGGAGGAACACCGAUGGCGAAGGCAGAUCUCUGGGCCGUAACUGACGCUGAGGAGCGAAAGCGUGGGGAGCGAACAGG
rnacentral:rRNA from 1 species